rnacentral:rRNA from 1 species
AACGAACGCUGGCGGCAGGCUUAACACAUGCAAGUCGAACGCCCCGCAAGGGGAGUGGCAGACGGGUGAGUAACGCGUGGGAAUCUACCCAUCCCUACGGAACAACUCCGGGAAACUGGAGCUAAUACCGUAUACGCCCUACGGGGGAAAGAUUUAUCGGGGAUGGAUGAGCCCGCGUUGGAUUAGCUAGUUGGUGGGGUAAAGGCCUACCAAGGCGACGAUCCAUAGCUGGUCUGAGAGGAUGAUCAGCCACAUUGGGACUGAGACACGGCCCAAACUCCUACGGGAGGCAGCAGUGGGGAAUAUUGGACAAUGGGCGCAAGCCUGAUCCAGCCAUGCCGCGUGAGUGAUGAAGGUCUUAGGAUUGUAAAGCUCUUUCACCGAUGAAGAUAAUGACGGUAGUCGGAGAAGAAGCCCCGGCUAACUUCGUGCCAGCCGCCGCAGUAA